GGUGCAUGGAGCUGGGAACAGUGCUGAGCGAACUCACACCUUUGUCUUUUUUUCUGCUCAGUGGUUCCUUGUUAGAUACUUACAGCUGAGAGAAAUCUGUUCUAUUUUUGACUGCUGUAAUAUUUGAAUUCUGGCAAACUGUUUUCAGGUGAAAAUGUGAGUGUUUAUAUUAUUUGUUUACGUAAAAAGGUAAUGAGGGGAACAUGUGCAAAAAAUCAUGAAAUCCAAGUUAGGUCAAGUUGUUAACUGCUGUCAAUCAGUUUCCUGCUUCUGAUAAGGCACUGUUGUUAUGUAAAAUGUCACUGAGGGAGGCUGGAUGAGGGCUACACCAGUCUCACGAUUUUUGCAAUUUCUUGUGAGUCUGUAAUUAUUUCAAAAUAAUAAGUUUUUUUUUUUUCUUUAAUUUAAAGGUAGGCAUUCUCAUUGUGGUUCAGCUAGUUAAGAACCCGACUAGUAUCCAUAAGGGUGCUGGUUCAAUCCCUGGCUUCACUCAGUGGCCACAAGCUUCGGGGUAGGUCACAGACGUAGCUCGGAUCUGGCAUUGCUGUGGCUGUGGCGUAGGCUGGCAGCUGCAGCUCUGAUUCACCCCAGCCCAGGACCUUCCAUAUGCCACAGGUGUGACCCUAAAAAGAAAAAAAUAAUAAUUUUUUAAAAAGGUAAAGAGAGAGUUCCUUGGUGGCACAGCAGGUUAAGGAUCUGGUGUUGUCACUGCUGUGGUGCAGCUUUGAUCCCUGGUCUAGGAGCUUCUCUAUGCUCUGAGUUCAGCCAAAAAAAUUUUUUCUUAAUUAAAAAAGUGAAAAUAAAAAUAGGUAAACAGGAUGUAUCAGUAAAAUUCAUAUUAAGGAAAUCAGAUAUUUUCUUUAGAUUUGAAACAGCUUGCCACAAUUAAGCCAUAGCACAAAUAACAUCAUUCAUUCAUUGACCGGAUAUCUAUGGAGUUCUUUAUGCCAGGCAUUAUCCUAGGUGUGCACUAAUGGAGAUGCGCCCUUCUGCAAGGGGUUAGCUGGAAAGAGUCUCGCCUUUGUUUCUGUGCUGUAGAGCUGGGAUUCUUAACCCAAAGUCCAUGGAUUUCAGGAGUAACAUUUGUGUAUAUAAGUGCUUUCUGUAGAAAAUAUCUCUAGUGUUUAUGAGAUUUUCAGAGGUUACAAACUGCUAUUUUGGAUGAUUACUUAUCUUGCUUGGAUUUCAAGAAGAAAUUUCAACAUAAGAGAAAAUCCUGGAGUUCCCAAUGUGGCUCAGCGGUUAACAAACCCGGCUGGUAUCCGUGAUGACAUGGGUUCAAUCCCUGGCCUUGGUUGGUGGGUUAAGGAUCUGGUGUUGCCAUGAGCUGUGGGGUAGGUCAUGCAGACACAGCUCAGAUCCUGUGUUGCUGUAGCUCUGGUGUAGUCCGACAGCUACAGCUCCGAUUCAACCCAUAGCUUGGGAACCUCCAUAUGCCGCCACUGUGGCCCUAAAAAAAAUAAAAAUUAAAAAAAAAAAAUCCUGAAUGCAGUUAGCUCCUGCUUAGUCUUCUUUGGAAAACUUCAGCCCCUUCAUUUCAAGGGCCCAACUUGCCUACACAUCUCUGCUAUUCAGAAUCUGUGUGGUCUUUUAAAUUAGUUCCAGGUAAGCUUAAAAUUCAUGGGGUAUUUUACAAGGUCUCUCUUCUGUAUGGGUUUGGUACAGGUGUGUGUUUUUCCUCUCCAAAGAAAAAUUAAAGUUGAUUUGGAAUUUAUAUCGAACCACAUUGCCCUGAAACUAUAGUUAUGCUUUGUAGUAGUAUUGAGAGUAUAGGAUGUAUUCCCAUUUGAAAGGGGGGUGAGAUGUUCUUAGAAUUAGAGAUUUGAAAUGAGAGAAGGGAAUUUGGGACUGAAAUCAGUCUUGUUAUAUCUGUAAGAAUUUAUGAUAGUAACUUUUAAAUCAGCCUCUCCACUUUAGAUCAUGGGCCACUUGAGGACAAGGGCUGAGGUCAUUCACAUUUGUUCCUUAGCACCUAGUGUGAGGUCUGGCACACAGUAGAUGUCCAAUAAUUGCUUGGUGAAAGACCUUCUCACGUAAGCACUGGUUCUUCUGUGCAGGUCCUACAAAACUUCAUAGUGCCUUCCCAGGGAUGCACAAGAAAUAUUUACAUUGAUCUCAGAAUCCUGGGGGCUAGAGCCUUGAGUGAUGUUUUGUUUGUAAAAUGCUUAAAAUUCUCAAGUGAGUUCCUCUAGAGGUAGGUAAAAUGUUAUUCUUAACAAACUAUUUCAUUUUAAAAGCUUAAAACUAAUAGUUUAUUUUGCCCAGUUGUUUAACUGAUUUGGGGAAUGUAUGGCAUCUUUUUUUU
ensembl:lncRNA